rnacentral:sRNA from 1 species
AUUUCUCCACUGCAUCAAGUUCCACGUCAACUGUUGCAUCAUAGUCCUUCACCUGU